CCUACGGGAGGCAGCAGUGAGGAAUAUUGGUCAAUGGACGAGAGUCUGAACCAGCCAAGUAGCGUGAAGGAUGACUGCCCUAUGGGUUGUAAACUUCUUUUAUAAAGGAAUAAAACGAGGCACGUGUGCCUUUUUGCAUGUACUUUAUGAAUAAGGAUCGGCUAACUCCGUGCCAGCAGCCGCGGUAAUACGGAGGAUCCGAGCGUUAUCCGGAUUUAUUGGGUUUAAAGGGAGCGUAGAUGGGUUGUUAAGUCAGUUGUGAAAUUUUGCGGCUCAACCGUAAAAUUGCAAUUGAUACUGGCCGUCUUGAGUACAGUUGAGGUAGGCGGAAUUCGUGGUGUAGCGGUGAAAUGCUUAGAUAUCACGAAGAACUCCGAUUGCGAAGGCAGCUUACUAAACUGCCACUGACAUUGAUGCUCGAAAGUGUGGGUAUCAAACAGGAUUAGAUACCCGUGUAGUC
rnacentral:rRNA from 1 species